rnacentral:rRNA from 1 species
CAAUAGCGUAUAUUAAAGUUGUUGCAGUUAAAAAGCUCGUAGUUGGAUUUCUGGCCGAGUGUCCCUAGGCCGGCAUGACGUUUGGUCCUAGGCGCUCUGCCAUCCUUCUGUCAACCUUCGCCUUCUUCAUUGGGGGCGCUGGGGCUCAGAUAUUUUACCUUGAGAAAAUUAGAGUGUUUCAGGCAGGCGUAGCCGGAAUACAUUAGCAUGGAAUAAUGGAAUAGGACUUAGUCUCUUUGUUGGUUCGAGGGACUGGAGUAAUGAUUAAUAGGGAUAGUUGGGGGCAUUAGUAUUUAUUAGCUAGAGGUGGAAUUCUCUAAUUUGAUAAAGACUAACUUAUGCGAAAGCAUUUGCCAAGGAUGUUUUCAUUAAUCAAGAACGAAAGUUAGGGGAUCAAAGACGAUCAGAUACCGU